GACGAACGCUGGCGGCGUGCUUAACACAUGCAAGUCGAACGGAAAGGCCCUGCUUUUGUGGGGUGCUCGAGUGGCGAACGGGUGAGUAACACGUGAGUAACCUGCCCUUGACUUUGGGAUAACUUCAGGAAACUGGGGCUAAUACCGGAUAGGAGCUCCUGCUGCAUGGUGGGGGUUGGAGAGUUUCGGCGGUUGGGGAUGGACGCGCGGUUUAUCGGCUUGUUGGGGGGGUAGGGGCUUACCAAGGGUUUGGGGGGUAGCCGGCCUGAGAGGGUGACCGGCCACAUUGGGACUGGGAUAGGGCCCGGCCUCCUACGGGGGGCAGCAGUGGGGAAUAUUGCCCAAUGGGCGGAAGCCUGAUGCAGCACCGCCGCGUGCGGGAUGACGGCCUUCGGGUUGUAACCCGCUUUCGCCUGUGACGAAGCGUGAGUGACGGUAAUGGGUAAAGAAGCACCGGCUAACUACGUG
rnacentral:rRNA from 1 species